UACAGAGGGUGCAAGCGUUGCUCGGAAUCAUUGGGCGUAAAGCGCACGUAGGCGGUUAUGCAAGCCGGAUGUGAAAUCCCAAGGCUCAACCUUGGAAGUGCAUCCGGAACUACAUGACUUGAGUCUCGGAGAGGGUGGUGGAAUUCCUGGUGUAGAGGUGAAAUUCGUAGAUAUCAGGAGGAACACCCGUGGCGAAGGCGGCCACCUGGACGACGACUGACGCUGAGGUGCGAAAGCGUGGGGAGCAAACAGG
rnacentral:rRNA from 1 species